rnacentral:rRNA from 1 species
CGUGGGAACGUGCCUUUAGGUUCGGAAUAACUCAGGGAAACUUGUGCUAAUACCGAAUGUGCCCUUCGGGGGAAAGAUCUAUCGCCUUUAGAGCGGCCCGCGUCUGAUUAGCUAGUUGGUUGAGGUAAUGGCUCACCAAGGCGACGAUCAGUAGCUGGUCUGAGAGGAUGAUCAGCCACAUUGGGACUGAGACACGGCCCAAACUCCUACGGGAGGCAGCAGUGGGGAAUCUUGCGCAAUGGGCGAAAGCCUGACGCAGCCAUGCCGCGUGAAUGAUGAAGGUCUUAGGAUUGUAAAAUUCUUUCACCGGGGACGAUAAUGACGGUACCCGGAGAAGAAGCCCCGGCUAACUUCGUGCCAGCAGCCGCGGUAAUACGAAGGGGGCUAGCGUUGCUCGGAAUUACUGGGCGUAAAGGGAGCGUAGGCGGACAUUUAAGUCAGGGGUGAAAUCCCGGGGCUCAACCUCGGAAUUGCCUUUGAUACUGGGUGUCUUGAGUAUGAGAGAGGUGUGUGGAACUCCGAGUGUAGAGGUGAAAUUCGUAGAUAUUCGGAAGAACACCAGUGGCGAAGGCGACACACUGGCUCAUUACUGACGCUGAGGCUCGAAAGCGUGGGGAGCAAACAGGAUUAGAUACCCUGGUAGUCCACGCCGUAAACGAUGAUUGCUAGUUGUCGGGAUGCAUGCAUUUCGGUGACGCAGCUAACGCAUUAAGCAAUCCGC